GACAGAGGGUGCAAACGUUGUUCGGAAUUACUGGGCGUAAAGCGCGUGUAGGCGGCCGGGCAAGUCGGGUGUGAAAGCCCUGAGCUCGACUCAGGAAGUGCAUUCGAUACUGCUUGGCUCGAGUCCCGGAGAGGAUGGUGGAAUUCUCGGUGUAGAGGUGAAAUUCGUAGAUAUCGGGAAGAACACCAGUGGCGAAGGCGGCCAUCUGGACGGUGACUGACGCUGAGACGCGAAAGCGUGGGGAGCAAACAGG
rnacentral:rRNA from 1 species